UCCAGCGUGCGUGCAACACAUCUCGACGCCUCACCCAUCCCAGCCGCAUCGCAACCCUAGCCGCCACCGGAGCAGGCCGCGACGCCGCCCACGGAGAGCAGGACGACACGCCGCGACGCCGCCCACGGACGCCGCCGGAGCCAGCUAGGGCGGACUGCCGGAGCCCUGCGUCAGGGGCUCGGCUGCUCGGGGCGUCCAGAAGGCAGAGGCUGGGAGCGCGCCGGCUCAUCAGGUCCCCAAGACCCCAACCCCAACGCAUUUGACUAACGGAGCCCAGAGAAAUGAAAAGGAAGACUUUGCACAGUUGGUUUGCAAGUAGUUCGAACACCCCCCAUGUUGUUGUUCCUGAACCUGAAGCAACCCAAAUUCCAAACUUGGACCCCCUUAUUCGAACAAAUCAGAGCAGUAACCCCCAAUCGAUGAGAAUACUACCCCCCUUCAAACGAGAGCAGCAACCCCCCAAUUGAUGAGAGCAUAAACCAACCACAAACAACAAGGCUUCUUAUCCAAGAAUUUCACCCAAGUCAAAUUUUUGGUGAUCCGGCAGAUCGAAUACCAAUAGAAGAUUAUGCCCCUGAAAUUCGAAGUGAAGUUAGAAGAGCUUAUUUGUUUAAAGGAAGAAACAAAGCUGAAGGGCAUAAUUUUGAAAUCACAUUGAAUGGUACAAUCGGGAGAUCUUCUCAACCACAAUGGCUGAUUUCUUCAAUUAUCUCCCCUUGAUAGUGACUCAGCUGGGUUCUUCUUGCAAGAGAAAAGAUGCAUUACUUGCAAAGCAUCAUGAUGAUUUGAUGAAAUUGAUGGAGCAUGGUGGGCCCCACGCGUCAUAGAGUCAAAAUGAAAUGGCAGUUGUUGCGUUGAUAGGGGCUUUUUGUGAGAAAUAAUUUUUUUUGCGGGUGCUUUCGCAAAAAAAGGCCAAAGACCUCCUCUACGCCUUCCAGUCACUGUCAGUGGGCCCCAUGCCACGCUGGCGCGCCAAGUCAACAUUGAUUUCGUACCCAAAUGUGAUUAGCACCGUAUUUGCAUGUUCGAGCCAAGUUGUUGCAUCAGUUCAAUGUAUGUCGCAAGUUCUAGCACCAAAGUGAUCGUUUGCGCCAAGUUUAAGCAUCACCGGUGUAAUUGACUCAACAAAAAAAAUGUAAGUGUAUGUGUGGGAUACAGAAGAAGAGAUUAACUUUGAGUGAUCAUUUUGUUUGAUCUAUACGAGUGGAACAUGUGUUUCUGCAUGAAGUAU